UGAUGUUAGCGGCGGACGGGUGAGUAACACGUGGGUAACCUGCCUGUAAGACUGGGAUAACUCCGGGAAACCGGGGCUAAUACCGGAUGGUUGUUUGAACCGCAUGGUUCAAACAUAAAAGGUGGCUUCGGCUACCACUUACAGAUGGACCCGCGGCGCAUUAGCUAGUUGGUGAGGUAACGGCUCACCAAGGCAACGAUGCGUAGCCGACCUGAGAGGGUGAUCGGCCACACUGGGACUGAGACACGGCCCAGACUCCUACGGGAGGCAGCAGUAGGGAAUCUUCCGCAAUGGACGAAAGUCUGACGGAGCAACGCCGCGUGAGUGAUGAAGGUUUUCGGAUCGUAAAGCUCUGUUGUUAGGGAAGAACAAGUACCGUUCGAAUAGGGCGGUACCUUGACGGUACCUAACCAGAAAGCCACGGCUAACUACGUGCCAGCAGCCGCGGUAAUACGUAGGUGGCAAGCGUUGUCCGGAAUUAUUGGGCGUAAAGGGCUCGCAGGCGGUUUCUUAAGUCUGAUGUGAAAGCCCCCGGCUCAACCGGGGAGGGUCAUUGGAAACUGGGGAACUUGAGUGCAGAAGAGGAGAGUGGAAUUCCACGUGUAGCGGUGAAAUGCGUAGAGAUGUGGAGGAACACCAGUGGC
rnacentral:rRNA from 1 species